CCAAUAGCGUAUAUUAAAGUUGUUGCAGUUAAAAAGCUCGUAGUUGAAUUUCGGGAUUGACACAUCGGUCGUGCCUUAAGGGGUAUGAACUGGUGUAGUCAAUUUCUCACCUUCUGGAGAACCGUGAUGCCCUUAAUUGGGUGUCACGGGGAACCAGGACCUUUACUUUGAAAAAAUUAGAGUGUUUAAAGCAGGCAUUUUGCUUGAAUACAUUAGCAUGGAAUAAUAAAAUAGGACGGCAUGAUUCUAUUUUGUUGGUUUCUAGGAUCACCGUAAUGAUUAAUAGGGAUAGUUGGGGGCAUUAGUAUUCAAUUGUCAGAGGUGAAAUUCUUGGAUUUAUUGAAGACUAACUACUGCGAAAGCAUUUGCCAAGGAUGUUUUCAUUAAUCAAGAACGAAAGUUAGGGGAUCGAAGACGAUCAGAUACCGUCGUAGUCUUAACCAUAAACUAUGCCGACUAGGAAUCAGACGAUGUUAAUUUUUUAAUGACUCGUUUGGCACCUUACG
rnacentral:rRNA from 1 species